rnacentral:tRNA from 1 species
GCUCCUGUAGUGUAGUCCGGCCAAGCAUGAAGCCCUCUCGAGGCUUCGACCCGGGUUCAAAUCCCGGCGGGAGCA